CUCCGUGCUCGCGCACCGAACGGUCUACAGGCCAUCCUCCUCAUUCUUACCCCAGGGCGAAAGAGGCCCCGGGCGUCCCGUUUCGAUCCACGACGGUCCCUGUGUUGCGUACCCAUCGAAGGGCAAGCGAUUCGGCCCUUCACGUCCCCUUCCAUCCGGCGCCCCGCGAGGGGCUCCCGGAGGACCAGGAAGCAGCCCCCCGUGUUCCGUCCCGGCCGUUCGAGGCGGGGGCGGCCCACGAGGACCUGCUGUGCUCUCGGAUGCGGUGCACGCCACGAACGCGGGGCCAUCGGCCUCGCGAGUCCCUCGGAAAGAGAUGGAAAUCCCGAACGACGGCCGCGGUCGCGUCGGUCGCCCCCCGGCCCCCCCCGGGGCUGGGAGGCGCCGUGCGAGGCGCGACGUCGGGGAGGAGUGCUACCUGGUUGAUCCUGCCAG
rnacentral:misc_RNA from 1 species